AUUGAACGCUGGCGGCAGGCCUAACACAUGCAAGUCGAGCGGAGCGGCGGACGGGUGAGUAAUGCCUAUGAGACUGUCUGGUAGUGGGGGAUAACGUCCGGAAACGGGCGCUAUUACCGCGUACUACCAGGUGAGUCUCGGUAGGAUUAGCUAGUUGGUGGGGUAAAGGCCUACCAAGGCGACGAUCCGUAGCUGGUCUGAGAGGAUGAUCAGUCACACUGGAACUGAGACACGGUCCAGACUCCUACGGGAGGCAGCAGUGGGGAAUAUUGGACAAGGGGCGAAAGCCUGAUGCAGCCAUGCCGCGUGUGUGAAGAAGGUCUUCGGAUUGUAAAGCACUUUAAGUUGGGAGGCGUUACCAACAGAAGAAGCACCGGCUAACUCCGUGCCAGCAGCCGCGGUAAUAC
rnacentral:rRNA from 1 species